UACAGAGGUCCCAAGCGUUGUUCGGAUUCACUGGGCGUAAAGGGUGCGUAGGUGGUGGGGUAAGUCGGAUGUGAAAGCUCGGAGCUCAACUCCGAAAUGGCAUUGGAAACUACCCUGCUUGAGGGUCGGAGGGGGGACUGGAAUUCUCGGUGUAGCAGUGAAAUGCGUAGAUAUCGAGAGGAACACCAGUGGCGAAGGCGAGUCCCUGGACAACACCUGACACUGAGGCACGAAAGCUAGGGGAGCAAACAGG
rnacentral:rRNA from 1 species